rnacentral:SRP_RNA from 1 species
GCGCAGGGUUCUGCGGUUGCCCAUGAAGAGGGAGAAGCAUCUGUUGCCGUCCAUCGGGAAGGCGUUGAUGCGCAGGCUCAAAAGGAGGCGAGGUCACCGGCUCGGAAAGAAACUGAGCAGGAGGCUUGCUCGCAUGCUCGGCAGGAACG